rnacentral:rRNA from 1 species
UACGUAGGGGGCAAGCGUUGUCCGGAAUCAUUGGGCGUAAAGCGCGCGUAGGCGGCCCGGUAAGUCCGCUGUGAAAGUCCAGGGCUCAACCCUGGAAAGCCGGUGGAUACUGCCGGGCUAGAGUCCGGAAGAGGCGAGUGGAAUUCCUGGUGUAGCGGUGGAAUGCGCAGAUAUCAGGAGGAACACCGAUGGCGAAGGCAGCUCGCUGGGACGGUACUGACGCUGAGGCGCGAAAGCGUGGGGAGCGAACAGG